rnacentral:rRNA from 1 species
AUUGAACGCUGGCGGCAGGCCUAACACAUGCAAGUCGAACGAGUGGCGGACGGGUGAGUAAUGUCUGGGAAACUGCCUGCUGGAGGGGGAUAACUACUGGAAACGGUAGCUAAUACCGCAUACCAUCCGAUGUGACCAGAUGGGAUGAGCGUGUUGGUGGGGUAACGGCUCACCACGGCGACCAUCCCUAGCUGGUCUGAGAGGAUGACCAGCCACACUGGAAUUGAGACGCGCUACCGACUCCUAACGGAGGCAGCAUUGGGGAUGAUGGCACAAUGGGCGCAAGCCUGAUGCGGCCAUGCCGCUUGUAUGAAGAAGGCCUUCGGGUUGUAGAGUACUUUAAGCGGGGCGGCGUUACCCGCAGAAGAAGCACCGGCUAACUCCGUGCCAGCCGCCGCGGUAAUAC